ensembl:rRNA 5S_rRNA 5S ribosomal RNA
AGAUAUGGCCAUACAACCCUGAAUGCACCCAAUCUUGUCUGAUCUCAGAAGCUAAGCAGGGUCAGGUCUGGUUAGUACUUGGAUGGGAGACUGGAGAGUUUUUGUAUCAUCUGGU